rnacentral:rRNA from 1 species
AAAAAAAAUUGAUGGCUUCCUGUGCUGGAUAAGAAUCGAACCAUGUACCUCAAGUAGUAAUUCCUACGACACAAACCACUAGCCCCGCUUCAGACUUGCUGUUUUUUAAACAAGUUUACAUGAUACUUGUUCUUGGUUAAUACGAGUUUGAACAUUAAAAAUUAGUGGUCAGGUCAAUGAUUCCCCCACUAACGUGAUUCUUUUGGCCUGAUUUUUUUUGUCGAAACAUCCCCCAAUAAUGUUGUGUGAAUAACAUGCUCAUUAAUGCACCACGGACCUGAUAACUUACACACAAACACCCUGAUAACUCACACAUC